GGAGGAAACCUCAUUAGUGGGGCUACAAGCUGAGUGUGUCACAACAUUCUACCACAGCCCUUGGGAAGGUAUGAGACUAGGGCCCUGAGCCCAAGGGAGGUGAGUUCCCAGAGAGUGGGGCUCUGCUUGACAGCAGCCUGGGCAGCAGGUGGUGCCAGGGCUAGUUUAGGUGGCAGACAGUUUAGUUAGAUGUCUCUUC
rnacentral:RNase_P_RNA from 1 species